AACGAACGUUGGCGGCGUGGAUUAGGCAUGCAAGUCGAACGAAUCCCUUGGGGGAAACUCUGAGGGGGAAGUGGCGAAAGGGGCAGUAAUACUUGGGUAACCUACCCCCAGGUCGUGGAUAGCCUUCCUAACGGUUGGGUAAUACGCGGCGUGGUCGAAGGGUGGCAUCACCUGGCGAUUAAAGAUUUAUCGCCUGGGGAGGGGCCCAAGUCGUAUCAGCUAGUUGGCGGGGUAACGGCCCACCAAGGCGAAGACGCGUAGCGGGUGUGAGAGCACGACCCGCGCCACUGGCACUGAGACACUGGCCAGACUCCUACGGGAGGCUGCAGUCGAGGAUCUUCGGCAAUGGGCGCAAGCCUGACCGAGCGACGCCGCGUGUGCGAUGAAGGCCUUCGGGUUGUAAAGCACUGUCGAGGGGGAGGAAGCCGCAAGGUUGACCUAUCCCUGGAGGAAGCACGGGCUAAGUUCGUGCCAGCAGCCGCAGUAAAAC
rnacentral:rRNA from 1 species